rnacentral:rRNA from 1 species
UCUUAGCUUGCUAAGGCCGAUGGCGACCGGCGCACGGGUGAGUAACACGUAUCCCACUUGACGUCUACUCUUGGACAGCCUUCUGAAAGGAAGAUUCUUCAAGAUGGCAUCAUGAGUCCGCAUGUUCACAUGAUUAAAGGUAUUCCGGUAGACGAUGGGGAUGCGUUCCACUAGAUAGUAGGCGGGGUAACGGCCCACCUAGUCUUCGAUGGAUAGGGGUUCUGAGAGGAAGGUCCCCCACAUUGGAACUGAGACACGGUCCAAACUCCUACGGGAGGCAGCAGUGAGGAAUAUUGGUCAAUGGGCGAGAGCCUGAACCAGCCAAGUAGCGUGAAGGAUGACUGCCCUAUGGGUUGUAAACUUCUUUUAUAAAGGAAUAAAGUCGGGUAUGGAUACCCGUUUGCAUGUACUUUAUGAAUAAGGAUCGGCUAACUCCGUGCCAGCAGCCGCGGUAAUACGGAGGAUCCGAGCGUUAUCCGGAUUUAUUGGGUUUAAAGGGAGCGUAGAUGGAUGUUUAAGUCAGUUGUGAAAGUUUGCGGCUCAACCGUAAAAUUGCAGUUGAUACUGGAUAUCUUGAGUGCAGUUGAGGCAGGCGGAAUUCGUGGUGUAGCGGUGAAAUGCUUAGAUAUCACGAAGAACUCCGAUUG